GACGAACGCUGGCGGCGUGCUUAACACAUGCAAGUCGAACGGAAAGGCCCUGCUUUUGCGGGGUGCUCGAGUGGCGAACGGGUGAGUAACACGUGAGUAACCCGCCCUUGACUUUGGGAUAACUCCAGGAAACUGGGGCUAUUACCGGAUAGGAUCUCUUGCUCCACGGGGGGGGUUGGAAAGUUUCGGCGGUAGGGGAUGGAUUCGCGGCUUACGAGCUGGUUGGGGGGGUAGUGGAUGACAAAGGCUUCGACGGGUAGCCGGCCUGAGAGGGGAGACGGGGACAAGGGGACUAAGGGAGGGAGCAGAAUCGAACGGGCGGCAGCGGUGGAAAACAUGGCGGAGUAGGGGGGAGUCAGAUACGAAAACGCCGCGUGCGGAAUGACGGCCUUCGAGUGGUAAACCGAUUUGGACUGUGACGAAGCGUGAGUGACGGUAAUGGAUAAAGAAGCACCGGCUAACUACGUG
rnacentral:rRNA from 1 species